UGUCUCUACUAAAAAUGCAAAAUUAGUCGGGCGUGGUGGCACAUGCCCAUAAUCCCACUACUCGGGAGGCUGGGGCAGGACAAUCGCUUGAACCCAGGAGGUGGAGGUUGCAGUGAGCCAAGAUCACGCCAUUGCACUCCAGCCUGGGCAACAAGAGCAAAACUCUAUCUUAAGAAAAAAAAAAAAGGAAAAGAAAAGAAAUGUCUGACCUCAAGUAGGUCCUCAAGAUCUAGACCAAGUCACCUCUGUGCCCCCAGGACCCAGCCAGGAUGUCCGUCAGAUGAGUUUGCUCCCAGCUCUUACCCUGUCCCCACCACCUGAUCCUGGAGCAUCCACAAUCUGGCCCCUCUUCUCUAGUUUUGCUGCUGCAGCCCAUUGAGAGUGACGACAUGGAGCACAAGACCCUGAAGAUCACCGACUUUGGCCUGGCCCGAGAGUGGCACAAAACCACACAAAUGAGUGCCGCGGGCACCUACGCCUGGAUGGCUCCUGAGGUUAUCAAGGCCUCCACCUUCUCUAAGGGCAGUGACGUCUGGAGUUUUGGGGUGCUGCUGUGGGAACUGCUGACCGGGGAGGUGCCAUACC
rnacentral:lncRNA from 1 species